rnacentral:rRNA from 1 species
GAUGAACGCUGGCGGCGUGCCUAAUACACGCAAGUCGAGCGAACGGACGAGAAGCUUGCUUUUCUGAUGUUAGCGGCGGACGGGUGAGUAACACGUGGAUAACCUACCUAUAAGAAUGGGAUAACUUCGGGAAACCGGAGCUAAUACCGGAUAAUAUUUUGAACCGCAUGGUUCAAAAGUGAAAGACGGUCUUGCUGUCACUUAUAGAUGGAUCCGCGCUGCAUUAGCUAGUUGGUAAGGUAACGGCUUACCAAGGCAACGAUGCAUAGCCGACCUGAGAGGGUGAUCGGCCACACUGGAACUGAGACACGGUCCAGACUCCUACGGGAGGCAGCAGUAGGGAAUCUUCCGCAAUGGGCGAAAGCCUGACGGAGCAACGCCGCGUGAGUGAUGAAGGUCUUCGGAUCGUAAAACUCUGUUAUUAGGGAAGAACAUAUGUGUAAGUAACUGUGCACAUCUUGACGGUACCUAAUCAGAAAGCCACGGCUAACUACGUG